rnacentral:lncRNA from 1 species
GGAGGAGGGGGUGGUAUAAAAUAUGUCUCCACGGAACAUUAAAUGGAGUAAAAACACUCUCCAUCGGGUCUGGCGGGGGCGGGUUUGGUUCACCAUCCCUCGUCCCCGCUCUCCGUGGAGGUCCGACGUAACAAUGUAUGUGUAAUAUUAUCAUGUAUAUUUGGCCCAUCUAGCCCAUAGAAACUAGGCCCAAAACGUAGAGUAUAUAAAGUAUCUACAAAACCCUAGCCAUUCCAAUCCCUUCUCCCUUUCGUCCCCAUUCCCCACGCCGUCGCAGGCUCGUAGCCUAGCUAGCGGCGUGCCGGUGCCGACUCCCGAUCUCAAUCUCGUAGGGCCGCCGCGCGCCUGCCGCGUCAGCACCCUCGCAGGGUCGCCGGCUUGUCGUGCUCGCGUCCGCGCAGGGCCGCUGCGCCUCCAGGUCUCGGCACUGCCGCACCAGGUCCCAGCGCCACAGUCGUCUCGGUCUCUCGGCAGCACUGAGGACGCCAAGGACUUGGCACCGGCCACCAGACGUUGGGCUCAUCCUCCACUGUCCAUCCAUCCAUUCUGAAUUUCUGAUCCGUCAUCUGGGCUUAUUUGUUUUACUGAUGGUGGAUGCAGGUGAAGGCUACGGUGGCAAGAAAGACCUACUCCGAACUAUGUUUUUGUGUAUGCCUGGACAACAUGUGUAGCGGUGAUAACUAAUGAGUGAUCGACUGGUGAUUGAUUAAUGAUCAUGUGUUAUUGUGUUGUUGCUUAAUAUGAGAAUUUGAUGGAUAGUGUUGCUGAGGGGAAAUUCUUGGGUACAAAUUUGUUGUACUGCUUGUUGCUGCAAUGCUGUUGCAACUGAAUAAGUAAUAAACUGAUGAUGUGCAUUUGUGAAUUUGUGAACUUGUGAUAUGAAUUUGUGAACUUGUUUUCUUGUAUAAUUAUGUUGUUGUCAUGUGCUGAAAUUGCAUGGCCAGAAUUGCUAUUUUGAGUGAUAAUCUUUUUAUCAAAAUUAUUGUUUGAUAUGUGAAAUAUAUACAUGAGACUCGCGGGGAUGGAGGCUCCACGGAGGCGAUGAUGGUGAAAGAUGUUACCCCGUUGCAUUUCACGGUGAUGGUGAUAGGGGAAAUUCUCCUCCACCGAGGCGGGUCUGGUGGUGUAACCUCCGACGGAGAAUUCCCCGUUGCCAUCUCUAAAUGGAACAAGCAUGCUCGGCCCGAUGGAUCUGUACGUGCUCAACGCCAAGCGCACCAAAGGUCUUAGGCUCGAUUGAUAUUGAUCACUUACCCAAUUAAAUAUUAAAUCACUUAUUCCUUUUAUGUAUGUAAGCAAGCAUCAGAUAGAGCCCUGGUACACGUGAAAACGCAUGCAGUGGCAGAGGAUUCAGGGGGAUGACGAAGAAAGUGGAUGGGGAGUUGCGAUUGCCAAGAUCAUUGAUGCCGUUCUCAAUGUGGGAAAACACAUAAUAGAUAUAGGGUGUGUUUAGUUCACGUUAAAAUUGAAAGUUUGAUUGAAAUUGGAAUGAUGUGAUGGAAAAAUUGAAAGUUUGUGUGUGUAGGAAAGUUUUGAUGUGAUGUAAAAGUUGAAGGUUUGAAGAAAAAGUUAGGAACUAAACUAGGCCAUAUAUGUAGGUGUUGAUGAACUUGACUGCAUGUAUUGGCCUGUUCAAGUUCACUGUCAUUGGUGCAUGGAGCAUAUAAAUACACGCGAAAACUUUUCAUUAUAUCAGAUCGUGAAUAUUUGGACACAUGUAUGGAGUAUUAAAUAUAGAUAAAAAAAACUAAUUACACAGAUUACGUGUAAAUUGCGAGACGAAUCUUUUAAGCCUAAUUGCUACAUAAUUUGAUAAAGUAGUGCUAAAGUAAACAUUUACUAAUGACGGAUUAAUUAUGUUUAAUAAAUUCGUCUCGCAGUUUACAGGCGAAAUUUAUAAUUUAUUUUGAGUAUACGUUUAAUACUUCUAAUGUGUUCCCGUAUAUCCAAUAUGGCACGCUAAAACUUUUCACCCGUGAAUCUCCUAGCCUAACUUAAACACUCUCAAACAGACAUGUAAUUACAGAUGCACACAUGCUGUCACACAUGCAAGAUUAGAUCGAUAUAAUCAACUUUAUCCAAUUUUAAUUGCUCCAUCACUAGCUAGCCAUUGUUUACACGUUCCCUCCAAUAAAUCGCCAUCGACUUCACUGCUGCCACUUCCGUCGCCACCGACUCAGCUGCCGUUGCCACCGCCGUCGUCGCCACAACUGUCAUCUUUGGUGCCGCCACUAUACGAUGUCCCAGACAAGACAGUGAGUUUAAGUUCAACUAGCAAUAAUCACGCGCUACGCUGCGUGUGGAUUUGAAGGUAACAUCAUACUCAAAGCAGCCCAAAAUGGUUACAGUUGUCAAGUUUGCGCCAAGAGCAUACUUGCAUUUACACUUUAUUAAUAUUUUCAAGAUCAAAUGUGAAUUGUUCUGAUCGGUUCGUUCAGAGAACAAUUUGUACAACCAAUGCACAGUAGUGUAAAAGCCUUUCCAGUGUGAUGUAGAUUACAGAAAAAGAUCAAUGUUGAGUCGGUAAUCAUUAGAAGGCAAGGCGCAUACCUGAAAAUUUUUCAUAUAGAAAUCUUCAUCACGAAACAAUGAGAUCUUUUCACAUAGCACCUGCAUUGUGAAGGAUAUUUUAGUGUUUCGGCGCAAUAAAAACAACAGUAUAUAACCAAAUGUAUGUGCAGCAAUUUAGAUGACUGCUGCUUACUUGGAAAGUGCCAGUGACUACUGAGCUAUGUCCAAUAGGCCAACAUUAUGUCCAAGAGUUCGGUUUUACAUGCAUGAAGUGGAAACAAAAUGUUGCAAUUUCGAUUGAUUAAGCGCAAAAAUAACUAAUGAAAUCAUAAUGUCAAGUCAACCUAUGAUGCAAACUUCAUAGAAGUAUAUGUAAAAACAGAGAUUCAAUUUGAAAGAUGAUGGGUCAGUAGCAAAUUCCAGAAAUAUCGCUGUAAGGAAAAAAAAGAAAGAAAGACCCCAUGUGCACCUAUUGAAGCAUAUUUUUUUUAUAUCCAUCAUUUAGAGACUUAUUUAGUAUAUCUGACAAUUGUAGUUGCUAUGAUUAAUCGAAUUUACGGAGACUACCUAGAUGAGAUGGCCAAGAGACUUUUAGCAUGAUAUGAUAUACUUACCUUAAUCGUGGCCAAAAGACUUGAAACAUGAUAUGAUAUAGUUGCUCUGAGGUAUGGAGGUAUGGCUAUUUAAAGUUAUUUGCAUGAUCCAAAUAUAGGGGUAAAAGGUGGGGGGGGGGGGGGGGGCAGCAAAUCAGCAGAAAAAUUAUCAUAGAUGGGAAACAUACCAGAUGGAGCAUGUGGUUGCUGAUUUACAUUCCAUGCCAAGGAAUAAAAGGGAACAUAUAAUUUAUAAGUUUGUAUUGUCCACUUGCUAUUUAAAUUCAGAAUAUGUAGAUUAUUUUAAAGUAAUGAUAUUAUCUGAAUAUCCUUUUUCCAGAAUAUGCAGACACAUUUCAGGUUUAUAAGCUUGAAAAAAAAGGCACUAACGAACAUUCCAUCGUUGGUCAAAGAAUCCCAUCAUAGAUCAACUGGCCUAAAAAAGAAGAAAAAUAAGUGUUUCAUGCAUAGAAAGUGGUUUCAAUUUUAUAUCCAUCUGUUGGAUAUUAAGACAAAACUUGAAGGAGAAUAACUAUUCCACAUUGGUUCCAGAUAAUUAAUUACAUCCUUUUCAUGAGAAAGCAACAAUUAACAAUUACUUUUGUUCCCCAUAACACAUUGGGCCAGCUGUACUUCCCAACUAUCAUGAACAAUUUGUUUAAACAAAAAUUAGCAAUAAAGCACAUGGGACAUUAUUCAAAUACCAGUAUGUCCACUAUCAUUGUCAGUAAGUUCCAAACACUGUCAAUGGAUUGUAGUUCCUACACUAUAAGAACUACCUCAUCCAAUAUCCUACUAUCCCCAACUGGUUGUCAAUAACUGUAAGCCUACCUGACCAUUUGAAAUAAAAUAUUUGAUAGUUUUGGAACACAGGUAGCUGCUUAAAUAGUAUAUAGUCUUCAAUAUGAAAUGUCACAUUUUAGCAAUAUGACUAUGCAUGUAGCAUGUUAAGCAUAUUUCUCUUAUCAAUAACUAUUUCAAUUCUAAACAAAAACUACAACAUGAGUAUAUGUUUUUCUUUAUUGCCUAAAUUCACACACCUCAGAUGAGAUACCAUACUUCCCAAAAAUGCAUUAGUGCUCGUACAGAGAGAACCUAGCUAGUAUUUCUUAGUAUACCUCUAGCUAAGAAGAGGAACCAAAUUAGGCGACAAAGACUAAUGCACCUCGUGCAAGCUGGUGUAUAAUAAAAAAAAGUCCCAUGGCUACAGCAUAGGACAAUCUUUGUUAAAAUUCCAGUUCUAAAUAGGUUACAAUGACUUCGUAUGAUGUUCAAAAAAAGUAAUUGAUUCGUAUUGAGGCAAAACAAAACUUACAUAGAUAUGUUCCACUUCAUAUGCACUGGGAGGGAUACCUGCAUCUAGAGAAGCUUAUAAGCACUGAUAAAUAAAGAACAGUAGGGCAUUUAGGGCAUUUAUAGUAUGGUCUGAAAGGCUUUGAGUUGGAUCUGCACUAUUAUGUUUCUUGUGUACAUAAUAUGAACUGAAUCAGCCCAAGAAGAACUUUACCUUGGCAACCAAAGAGAAUCAUUACAUACAUGUCAAAGGUAUCCUAAGCUUGAUAUAAUGAACGAAAGCCCCAAAUCGCAUAAAUAUGCCCUGCAUCACAAAUGGGAACAAAUAAACCUAUCAACAAUAUCGUUUUGCCCUCCAAAGUUGUAUAUGCAAUUCCUAACUGAAACAAUUAAUCACAGCAUAGAGAAUUUUGAGUAGCAGCGUGUGUUGUUUCAAGCUAAACAGUUUGAUCACACAUGACAGUGUUGAAGUACAUGCAGAGGGAAAUUUCUCCACACAACCUACACACUAUAACUGAAUAAUGCCAUACACAUUAAAAGCAAAUCAAGACUGGCACUGUAACUAAAUCAAGGCUUACACAUUAGAAGCAAAUCACGGUUGUAAUCAUCAACAACUAAGGUCCAACCACUUCCUUCUCAUGGCCCUAUGACACUGAGCUAGAACGAAAAGGAAAAAAGAGAACAGGAACGACCAGGCAGCUAUUGUCGCGGAGCCGCAGCUGUCUUCAUCGCGGUCCUGGUCAAGCCGACACUCUCCCUUCCCUUCUCAUGGCACUGAGCGAGGCUCUCAUGGAGAGGGAGAGGAGAAGAUGGCAGUGGCGGCGGCCGGAGAGGGACAGGAGAAGAGGGCAGCGGCGGCACCCUAUUGACUCCAUCCGGGCGACCGAUUCAACUGGAGGGGAGGCCAAGAUUGAUGAAUCAGACGGUCCCCGAGCCAUAUUUGACACCGCAGAGAGGGAGCGGCGGUGGCAGCACGGUAGAGGAGAAGGGAGCUGCGGCGGCGACGGCGCUUGCGAGCGGAGGAGGUGGGCGUCUGGGCGCCGGAUCCGCCGGCGAGGAGACCGGGGUCACCGGAUCCGGCGGUCCCGGCCUCCUCACUAGGAGAUCCGGCGGGUCAUUGGGAGGGAGCGGCGGCGGCAGCACAGUAGAGGAGAGGGAGCUGCGGCGACGACGGCGCACGCGAGCGCAAGAGGCGGGCGAGGUUGCGGUGCGAGCUGAGGAGGUGGGCGACGGCGCACGCGAGCGCAGGAGGCGGGCGAGGUUGCAGAGCGAGCGGAGGAGGUUGCGGCGCGCGUGUAGGGAGAGGAGAGGACGGGCGGCUAGGGUUUGUACCGGUUGGCGAAAUCCAGGCCGUCCGUCCAUAAUCCGACGAUCGCACGGGUAAGGAAGGGCCAGCACAGCGGGACACGUGGACGGCCAGAUUGACCCUACGGUGAGAUCGGACGGUGGAAAGAAGCGAGGACCGGCGCAUAAUUAUCCGAAAGUGCAGGGGUUUUUUCGCCAAAAUUGAUGAUGUGGCACUCUACUCUUCCCGCGUUCCCACGGCUUUUAAGUAAACCUAUAUAUUAACUAUUUAGUAUUCGGUUAACCUUAUCUUGAGAGGUAGCUACAAAAUUAUGGUGCAAUACAUCUGUUCAAUACUAAUUUAGUACUUCAUCCGUUUCACUUUAUAAAACAUCUAUUUCCUUGUCUAAAUGCAACAUCUAUAUGAAAUUAUGUGUCCAAAUUCAUAUCGAACCAUACAUGAAUCUUUUUAAAAUCCAAAAAUUCUUAUAAUAUAAAUAAUUAAUUAUCACACUCCGAUUAACGACAACUUGCUUUCAUUAGGCCCCCUCCAAUAUGAGCCAAUCAUGUAUUUUCACCACGCUUUAGGACUUUGGCAUAGCAUAUGUGCUGGCCACAUGGAAGUGAUGCAACAGUUAACAACGCUUUGCUAAGAUUAGAAUAAGGCAACAUUGAAGUGAUUAAUGGGGUUGUUCUCAGUACUAACUCUGUUUUCUUAGGUUUCGUUCAUGGACGGUAGAUAUGUUCAAAGUUCGUUUCUAAUUUUCUAUGUUGCUUAAUACUUGUUUCUAAAUCAGCUCCAAACUCUUAGUAUAUAGCAUAGAAUAAUGUGAAAUACCAUGAUGUAUACAAGUAAUUCAAGAAGCUAUUUCUGUGAUAUGAAUGCAGUCCGGCCAUCGAAAAAAGCAAGAAGUUCCAAAUGUAUGGAUAAUAUGCACACCUUUAUUGUAUUUCAAUCUAUUUAAAUAUGCCAACCACUUACACUUAAUUUAUUUGGAUAAUUAUUUUUUUCACAUGUAAAAUUAUGAAAAAAUUGAUGUGAGUUGGCAUGGAACUGAAUCUCAAUUUAAUUUAGACAUAUAUACAAAUUAGGCAAAUUUUGCUAUAGGACAUCACGACUUCGUGGUUUUAGCCGUAGGACACCGCACAAACUCACUUUUAGGGGAAAAAACACUCUUUAAACGUGCUUAUUUGCCACUGGACACCACGUCCAUUAAAAUAUUAAUUUUCGGUUGAAUAGAAGAGAUAAAUAGUAUGAAAGGUCAAAAAUACCCCUGACCCCACUUGUCAUAUUCUUCCUCUUCCUCCUGGUUGUGCAGCUUCUCCCCGGACUGUUGCCGGUCCAAGUGCGUCGGCUGGAACACGCUCAUGGAUUCCCUGCCUGCUAUGUCCUGCUCGUAGUAUAGGUCCUUGAUCCUCUCGGAGUAGGCGCCAUGUAGCGACACGACGAGCACCGGCUUGCGCCUCCCCGGCCGCGCCGCCCGGCUGCUCUCCGGCAGUGGUAAAGUUGAGCUCCUGCUGCACACGGGGCAGGAUGUUCUCUCCAUGCGCGCACAACAUGAUCUGGCCGUAGAGCUCGUCGGUGGAGAUGCGCGCCAAGUAGAAGGAGCACACCUGGAUGCCGACACGCUACUCAGUGUAGGCCAUGUACGAGGCAUGGUACCACGUUCCUCGGGUGGAGCAGGUAGCGGCCGAGGAGGUGGAACGCAGCAUCGUGGCACGGGAACAUCCGCGGCAGCACGCGCUCGAUGCGCGAGACCAGGAACAGUCCGAGCACGAAGUAGUUGUCGGAGAGGAGCACCAUCCAGUCGACGCGCCACAAUGCGUCCAGCCCGUCGUCGCAGAAGAAGCGCGGCUCAUUGCCGUUGCGGUUGAAGUACGUCGUGCUGCAGGUGCAUGUACAUCCAUGGCGGUAGUGGGUCUCGGGCAGCGCGUUGCCGCGCCGCAGCGCGUUGCCGAGGCUCUCGCGGGUGCACGCGUUGAAGCCCCGGAUGCCGGAAAACGGGAAGUCCCCCUCCGGUAGUGUCCACGUUGAGCCCGGGAAUUGCUCGCAGAUGAGAUAAGGAAGAAGAGAGGAUGGGGAAGAGAAAGGAGGGGUAAUUUGGUUACUCUGCAUAAAAAUAUGGGCCCGUGUCGCCUUGUCAGCACGAAUACGUUAUUUUAAUAGGGGCAGUAUCCGCUGGCAAAUAACCACAUUUAGAGAGUGUUUUCUCCUAAAAGUGAGUUCGUGCGGUGUCCUACAACUAAAAUCACGAAAUCGCGAUGUCCUGUAACAAAAUUUGCCUACAAAUUAACGCCGAUGGCACAACAGAAAAAAGUAAAUCACUAUUUUUAUUUUAUACUCCCCCGUCUAAAAAAACAGACCUAGAACUGUAUGUGAUACAUUCUAAUACAACAAAUCUGGAUAGAGUUAUGUCCCAGAUUUGUAAUAAUAGGAUGUGUCAUAUCCAGUGCUAGAUUGGAUUUUUAUGGAACGGAUGGAGUAACUAUGAUAUAUGUUUGUGCUCGUGAUUUUGCUUUUAUAAUUGUAGUCGAUCAUCUACGGAACUAUUUAUGUGUGUAUAUGUAGCCAUUCUAUAUCUAUAUAUUAGACACUACCACUCCCCUCUCUCUCUACGUUAUCUCUUUUCUCAGCCUUCCCGGCUUACCACCUUUUCCCCACCUUCUUCCCUGCUUCCCCUCCUCUCCACCGUCAACAGCGGGCGUCGGUGGCGGCCCCGUGGGUGCGCCUCCACGCCACCCGCAGCACCCAGGAUGAGGAGGUCAAGGUCGACGCCACCAUGUUCGACGGCGCCGCCGUCCCGCCCCCAGACGCGCCCCUCUUCCGCCGCGUCGAGUCGCUCGACCACGUCCCGCGCCUCCACCUCGGCCUCAUCAUCGAGGCCUCUACCGCGACAUGUUGCACCAGCACCAGAAAUCAUGUUGUACGGAAGCUUUUGUGAUUUUGCUCUCUGGUUUAUGUGGUUUGUGAAGUUCCACUUCUGUAAAUGAUUCGCAGCAAGCUGGAGGCUAGGGAGAGGGAGUACGUGAGGAAAUUCUUGCAGGAGAGGGCGGCGGCGGCAGCGGCGGCCGGGCGAGGCGGCGCUCCCACGGGAGAUUCACGACGAGAUCGGCCUAGAGUUCCUCGGCAACGUCACCGGCAAGCCAUACACGCUCCACGCCAACAUCUUCGCCAACGGCGUCGGCAGCCGCGAGCAGCAGUCGUCGCAUCUCCUCCUGGUCGUGGUCCUCAUCGUGCACAUCGUCGCUCGGCUCCCUUGACGACGAUGCCGUCGUUGCGUGCGUCGUCAAGGCGGCGGCGAGCGGGCGAGCGGGCGGCGGCCAUUUUCACUUUUUUUUUGUUUUUUUUCCGUGCGAGCGGUAUAAUAUGACCGCAUCGGGAUAAUCGAUUAUCCCGUGCGGUCCAUUAUCCCAUACGGUUGGGCCGUCCGUACGCGAAAAUAUUGAUUUUUUCAGACAUUUGGGUAUAGACGGGCAAAUCCUCCGCACAGAAAAAUCAUUUUGACCGCAAGGAAAAAUGGUUUUCGCAGUAACGAGAGACCGAAGAAGAUUGUACAAUUAUUAAUUGGGUAAUUUGUAACCAUGCCAUUAUAAUUUUUUAAAGUUUAAGAUAUGCCAUCGGUAUCUCAAUGACACGUAGGACCCACAUGAAUCAAUGACAUGUGGGUCAGGAUGGCAUAUCUCAAAUUUUACAAAAUUAUAAUGGCAUGGUUACAAUUUUCCCUUAUUAAUUUAUGUUCGCAUCGCGUGCGGUUUGAUAAGUGAUUUAACUAGGUUCCUUGUUUUGUCUAAAGCACCACCACCAGAAUCAUCAGUAUAUUUUACUGUGGAUUUUGGAGUACAAUUAAAAAUUCUAUUACACUGACUUAAAAUUUGAAUGACUUUUACCUUUUUAAACUCUAUGGAUGAACCCUAAAAAAAUAAUUGCCGAACAAAAUAUUAUUUCAAACUGGGAGAUGAUGUGGCAGUUUUUUUUAAUUUUAUACAGUGGAUUUUUGGAGUACAAUUAUUUUACCAUUGGCAAGAUGAGCAUAUAUUAUUUUUUUAAAACUUUAAUUUGUUGGAUGGAUAGUAUGAGUACAUUUUAUACAAUCUAUAUGUUCUUUUAUACAGGCUCUGUGUACAGCUCAGAUGAUGCACUUUUCCUGUGUGAAACUCUGAAGUAUGAUUCAUGUCAGGCACGUUUUUUUAGGAUAAUGUCACGUGCCUCUUUUAUUUUUUGCCACGUGUUUGAAAAUUAUUUUAUUUUAGGAUUUUUAUUCAUAUUAAAAUGGAUUGUCCAUUUUAUUUUUUUUAUAUGUAUGACUAUAGUGUACUUUGAGAUAUGUAUGAAUAUGUGUAGCCAUUCUAUGAAGCUUUUUAUUCGGUCAUUCUAUAUCUAUAUAAUGAUUAAUUUAUGAUGAUUAAUUUAUGUGUGCAUGCGUACAGUUUGAUAAGUGAUUUUGGUAUUCGGGCCUUGGCCGUAUUUAGUUCCUCCAAAAUUUUUUUGACACCACAGACACACAUUUAAAGUAUUAAACAUAGACUAAUAAAACAAAUUACAGAUUCCACCUAUAAACUGCGAGACGAAUUUAUUAAGCCUAAUUAAUCUAUCAUUAGCAAAUAUUUACUGUAGCACCACAUUGUCAAAUUAUAGCGUAAUUAGGCUCAAAAGAUUCGUCUCGCAAUUUACAUGCAAACAAUGCAAUUGAUUUUUUUUUCAUCCACAUUUAAUGCUUCAUGCAUGUGUCCAAACAUUUGAUGUGACGGAAUUUUUGGAAGUUUGAAGGGAACUAAACACAACCCUUAUUUAGAUCCCAAAAAAUUUUGGCCAAAAACGUCACAUCAAAUGUUUGGACAAAUGCAUGGGGCAUUAAAUGUGGAAAAAAAAUCAAUUGCAUAGUUUGCAUGUAAAUUGCGAGACGAAUCUUUUGAGCCUAAUUAUGCCAUGAUUUGACAAUGUGAUGCUACAGUAAAUAUUUGCUAAUGACGAAUUAAUUAGACUUAAUAAAUUCAUCUCGCAGUUAUAGGCGGAAUCUGUAAUUUGUUUUGUUAUUAGUCUACGUUUAAUAAUUUAAAUGUGUGUCCGUAUACUUCAAAAACUUUGCACCCAAACAACUAAACACACCCUCAGGCAAUAUAACUUGGUUCUUUUUUUCUCUAAUGCAGCACCACCAUAGUCAACUGUAGAGUUAUCCCUUGGUAUGUGAAGUGAUGAUCAGAGCCAAUGUACCUCUCAAACCGACUCACAAAUGGAUAUCAUCAUUGUUGAAAGAAGGGUUUCAUCGGGGUUUUAACCGAUGAGGUAUGUAGAUGUUGCAUCGGCUUACAAAGAUUGCAUAUAAGUUGGAUUUAGCCAUUCGCAACAAAGGUUUCACUGUUUAUCUAAUCUUGUGGAUUUUAUGACAUGGGACCUCCAGCCAAUAUAUGCUUUAACCAUCGGAAUAUUUAUUUUAUCAUAUCAUUGUUAGCCGAUUAGUUUCUACUGGAUUAUAUUAUUGUUAUUUAUCAUCAUCGGCUGAUGGCCUUUAUGUCAUUUAUUUACUCAAGUAUCAGACUUUGCAUUGGACAUAUAGCCGAUUGCUCAAAACCCUAUCAACAUCUGCUGGUAUCGGCAUCAGUUGGAAUUACUCCGUCUGCUUGUCAGCCAAUCGGCUCAUUGAUCUACUAUUUGCAUAUCUUAUCAGUUGCAGGAUCAAACUGACUGACACUUCUGCAUCUCAUCAACCUUUUGACCUGCACUGGAGCUAAGUAGAUCUCCCAUGCCGUUGGGUUUGUUGACUUAAUUUUGCGCCAACACAGUUCUGGCACCAUCGGCCGAGCGCGGUUUUUUCGUCAACAGGGGGUAAAAUGAAAAAAAAAGGAGAUGCUAAGGUGCCUAUUUUUUCCUCUCAGGGUGGGAUGAGGAUUUGUGGAAGGAUUCCUUAGAAAAGAAGUUUCUUGAAGGGUAUUGAAAAUAUUUCGCAAACUGAGGAAAUAACGGCUAGAAGCAUCGGAACGAAGAAUUGAACGGCUAAAGUUCCCUUAAUGACGUGGUGUUGUAUUUUGCAAGGAAAGGUUUCACUUUUCACUUAUUUAGAUAUAACACACAUGCAUGUAUUUUCGUGCAACUAGUGACUUGCAACACAUGAUCCCUGCUAGAUGCCUGUUGGCAGUCAUUAAACCCUAAAAUCACCACCAAUAUUAUAAUAAAAAUAUCACAUAAAGCAUGUUACCUAGGUCGAUUUUGCCUUAUUUCAAUGAGUUACACGAUUUCUGUUGGAUUUCACUACGCGUAUAAUAAUUCACGAUUUUGACCUAUUUUUUUUCCAAUGAAAAUCUGGCAUUUUAAGCCAAAGGGCUGACCAGCCGACCAACAUACCUCAUGGGUCAACCGGCCUAAAGACUUGGCCGACUAGCCAACUCAGGGCUCGGCCAGCUAUUUGGAAACGUGUCCUGAUUGGCCACCCUCCUCACUGAGCCGGCUGGCCUGCGCAGCACGAUGUGAGGCUAAUGAUUGAUUGGUGGACCCCAUUCUGGGAGUGAUGUCUUCUCGGAUGAGUAACAUGUAGACUUACUUUUCCCUCUUAAUAUUUUAUUCAUACAUUAUGCUUAUUGCCAUACUUUUUUUCCUAGUUCUCUUCUAAGUUUAUUUUUUAUGCUUGCUUGAGUGGAUGCCUCAUUUAUAAUUAAGCUGGGAACAUGUAUAGUUCUAUGUGUGGGUGUGGUGCUUAGGAAUAGUUUUAUCUAGGAAGGCUGGUUGGGGAAACAGAGGACGUAGUUGGCCGGGUGCCGACAGCCUCGGUUGUCCUUUGAAGCCAGCCACGUUAACCCUAAUUACGCUGACGCAAAUAGGUAGACCAAUGCUUAAUGUGGAAAGCAGUCCUGUUUCCAAAGCAAGCAAGGAUAAGUGUAGCUAAAUGGAUUUCCUAGAAUGAAAGCAGUCUUGUGAUGUGGGGAAUAACCCGGGGACUUGAAUCCUGACUAAUUCGAUGAUUUCACAACCAUAUCAUCACAUUCACACAACAAAUACAUAUAUAUAGACAAUAAUGUUCACAUUUCUAAGUGUUAACAAAAGACACACAUCACAUUGGACUAACUGGUCAAAUAAAAGAGAGUCAAACAUAGCGCAAUAAGAGAACAAAAAAAUAUAUACAUUCUUUAGUAUGCCAUCUAACUAACUAGGAAUUACUACCCAUGUCGAAACGCGGAUGACCGCACCGAGAAGGCAAAUUCUUCUUUGCCAAUCGAAGAGCACAAACAAGAAUGAGAUAGAAUACAACCAAAAUUACAGAUGAAUGAUUAAGCUCACAAGUUGGGGUCUUACAAACCGAUCUAGCGGCGAAACUAUUCUCGACAGAAUAUUCUAAGCAAAACCCGACUCUAAACGAUGACGGCUACUUAAUUAAUAUGAUUAGGGACGUCCUAGGGUUGCCCUAGGGCGCACACCCUCAUGGGCUAAGCCCACGACACAAUUAUAAGGCCCAAAACCCAAAUCAGAUUUGGAUUGGAUGAGAUACAUAACUUGUUUUGUAGAUUCCCGACAGCUCGGUAGGAAUUUUGACGUAGGACCAAAACCAUCUAAAAGUAGACUCCAUAAGCUUUCCAACAAGUACUCAUAGGCCCCGAAAUUCCUUCUAGAUCAACAUCUAGGUUCGUUUGAAGUUGAUGCUGUCAGGAGGCCCGAAUCCGAAUCCAAAACGUGUAGAACUUGAUCUCUUGUCUUCUAUGGACCAAAAGUGACGUGGUGAGGUAGAAGUAGACUUGGAGAAGGUCUUGGUUUGGUCCCCAAUCAACUUCUUUGAUCAUCCAUGCAUUCGUUACGCUCGGUCUCUUUUCCUUCGCCCAAGCAAGUACCUCUACAAACAAAAACACAUCAUUGUGUAGCAACGUUUGUUCAAAUAUAUAACAAGUAAAUCUAAUGUAGAACAUAUGUACCUUUGUUUGAUUAAUAUAUAAGGUAUCCAUGGUUAUAUCCAAACUAGUAGUGUCCUCAUCACCUAGCUAGAAGUAUCAUGACGCUAAUGGUGGUGGAUAGAAAAUGGCAAAGGAAGGGAGAUAGUGCUGUUUCCAAAGGCAGAGAUGAAGUAAAAUAGGGUUCAAUGUAAAACAAAAGGGAGAGAGAGAGAGAGCUCAAAGUGAAAAGAAUGUGUAAAGGAGGGCAAAAGUGAAACUUUUGUAGUAAAGAGGUCCACAUUGCAAACCAUCUCUAUGUUUUAAGUUUUGAUGCAUGUAAAAAUAAUGUGACUGUGACAUCCCGGCCCAAUUUGGAUUAGGCCUGUGUGGCCCAUGUGAGUUGUGUGCGUAUGUUUAGUACGACCUUAUUAGUUUAGCAUGAGUGGAACUAACUUAUAAGGCCUCUUCCCUCCAACCAUACCCUUUUACACGAAGCGAGGACGAAAGUGUAAGUGGAGUGAUGUGUGUAAGUGGGCCCGCUACGUGGUUCUGGAGGGAGGGCUGUAACAAAUGGUAUCGGAGCCGACCCUUGCGAUUGCGCGUACGGGUCAGUGUGCGGGCAUAUGGCGCUGGCACUGGACGUACGGAUGUGCGCUUCGCGGUUGCGCGUACAGGUCAGUGUGCGGGCAUAUGGCGCAUGGCGCAUGUGGGCUCUGUGUGAGGCACAUGGCAUGGCAUAUGGCGCUAGCACUGGACGUACGGAUGUGCGCUGAGAGGGGGUGUGUUCCUGGACAGUUGCCUAUAUGCCUGUGUGGCUACAUGGGUAAGUUGGGCCGACAGGGAUGUCGGGUCCUUUGAGGGGGGGGGGGGUUGUGACAUCCCAGCCCAAUUUGGAUUAGGCCUGUGUGGCCCCACUCCCGGGUUAACCCUUUUAUACGAAGCGAUGACGGAAGUGUAAGUGGAGUGGUAUGUGUAAGUGGGCCCGCCCGUCGGAUGGGCUGGCUACACGGUUCUGUAGGGAGGGCUGUGACAGUGACGUGGUCAUCACUUCCAACUUAAAUGCUAAAAAUAUUGUUCUCAAUUUGUAACCUCCAUUGAGAGUAUUAUCAUGUUCUUAGUAAUUGCUUAUUGAUAUUUUUAUGGAAAAAGAGGUGUAGGCAAUCUUCUUCACAUUAUUCAUUACAGUAAGAUCGUUACACAUUUAGUUUACUUCUCGUUGAUCUGCCACUCAGCAUACUGUUGCGGCCCACGCCUCGGAGCAAAGACAGCCAUCUCAUCGCCGCGGUUGAACUUUACAUGCCUAGAGUCCUCCCUUGAAAGCCUAUAAGCAUUGGCGACCACGUCAACGGGUAGAGCACGAAGAAUGGAGGCCUUCCCUGCGAUCUGACUGUCGACAGCAUUGUGAUUGGUCUUGAAGGAUACCCAUGCAAAUCCUUCACGUCGAGCCUUCACCACCACUGCAAAGUUCUGUGGGAUCAACAAGAUCUGCUGUUGGUGAAGCUCACCAUCAAAGACACUCCUACCACGGUGAUCCACCACCUGGAUGUGCCCUUGGCCAGCGGUCACGUACAUCACCGUGUGUGCGUUUACCGUCCAAUGAGGAGUAAGCAAGGCAUUCUACAAAAAUGGAAGUGAAUCAACAUGACAAAUACUUGGCAUAAACUACAUACAUUAUGCUUACAAACUAUAGUAAUUUUCUCUUUGUUUAUACUCACAUUUUGGAGAACGAUUCUGGUGGCACUCAUCUGGAUGAUAUUGAGUAUUGGGAAAUUCUGGCUAUUGGCCCUUGUGAUCCUUCCACCAUGGGGGUUAAAUAUGUCACUGGAUUGUGGGUUGUCUAUGUUCUUCCUCAACUUAAAUGCACACAUAAUUUCAUCUAGGACAUUUUGCUGGCCGCAAGCUCCACCACUUCGCAACCAGGUGGGCUGUAGCUGCUUGGUUGGCAAGUAAGCUUGGGUUUGUUCCUCUUUCACUGGCUCAACUUGGAGAGAGGGCUGCAGUGCCUGGAGCCCAUUUUCAACUCUAAUGAUGGCACCUCUUGGGUCACUCAGGCCUUGGAGCCUCAACACAGUUUGCUUGCUCACACUCAGGGCUUCAGAAAGUAAAUCUGGGCUGAACCCAGCAAAGAUGUUCUGAUUUCUGCUCAGUUGUUCUGUCUGGUAUGAGUACGAUUGCUGCUGCCAGCUACUUCUAGGCUUUCCAGCCAAGAAAAACUCCUAACCCAUUUAUCAUUUCAUAGUAUACAAUACACAUUAGCAUUUUGUUAUCAUUGAAAUCAAAAUAGUGAUAUGGAAUAUUCAUUAUGCUUGUGUGGAGCAUAUGUACGCAUACCCUUCUUUUAG